CCUGAAGACCAAUUAGCCAAUUAGCUUUGAUCUUAUCAAAGGCACGCAUAUUUGCAUUCAAACUGGAACUUAAGCACCCCAUCAGCAAAUUUAACUACGCCGCUGGUGGGUGGUCUCGCCUUAAUCCACUGAAAUAAAAUGUACUGUUAUCGAAAGUUGCUUCCCUCCUGCAGUUUCUCCUGACCUACAGCAACCGGCAGAUUUGCCUUAAUAUGAUUUAACAAGAACACACCAGGAUUCAUCUGGAUGUGUUUAUCCUAUGUACAGAUGAGUUCUUAGGAGAUAUUUCUUCUAAAGCCUCAAUUUCAUUGUUCUAAAUCAGGCCGCAUUACAGACAAAUGGAUGAAAUUGCAGGAAUAGUAAAAAUCUAUUUACUGAGUCAAUGUUUAUGUUAAAUACUAUUAAAUCAAAAUCAGACAGAAAUUAAAGACUCAAUAUUUGGGGUGUGCUGAUUACAUUUGCAGUUAUUUGAAUCUGCAAGUUUUGGUUGCGAGGCUUAUCUGAAAGCAAUUAACAAUGAACAUAGUAGUUGCGUUUAUUUUGAUCAAUAUUGUUGUUAUUGCAUGAUGGCUACAUCAUAUGAAUAUUAAAAUAUAAUUAUAAAUAAAAUAUAAUAAUUCUCCAAAAACUCAAAGGAAAGCCUUUUAAUAAUGCUGUAGUUGGGGGAGAUGACAUAAUUAGACAUUAAUCUUUAUUUUCUAACUACGCAGCUAACGCUAAUUUCCAAGAUGGCGGCCAUCCAGUCAAGCUUCUUCGCUGAAGGACGAUCGGCAAACGCCGGGUACGACUUCAGGGCAGGCAGAGGUUGAAGGCUUCCCACAUUAGGAACGCUCCAGAACCCGAAAAGCGUUAACUAAGACCAUCGUCAACGAAGUCAGAACCACCAGGAAGAACCGAAAACAGCUAAUUUAAUGCGAUAAUUCGCAUUAGCACAGCACCAUGACUCCGCAGCUACGAGAUUUCCAUCACCGGACAGGUGCCUUGAUAGAGAGCCAGAGGGUCAAGUUGAUUUACCAACUGUUUUUGCUGGAGAAUGCCCGAAAAACGCUGGAAAGAGAACUUAUUAACUUCACCAAAAAGGCAUAUGAGGACGUUCAGAAUUUCUUCAGUUCAUCUGUUCCCGCUGUUUCAUUCAGUGAUCUUGUGAAGACUUUGGAUGCAAACCUGCAAGCUGUUGAGGUGCUUUCUGCCUUUGCAAAAGAAUUCUCAGUGGGGGCAUCCACUUUUAAAUGUUUUAAAAAGAAGUCACGACUGAACGCGGUUGAACCGUUUGGGUGGAAAAGGAUGGCACCUGUUUUCGGUGAUGGCCCCGCAUUGUGGGACUUGCUCAUAGGCCGCUCUGGAUCUAAAGCGGUGCGGGUAUUUGGAGCGACAAAGCUUUUACAAGAGCCGAAACUAUUCCUCAUCCCACCACGUGUUUUCAUUCAGCAGGAUGAUAGAAUAUGCAGCAGGUGUGCUGUUAUCACUGUGAACUCGUCCUCUUGCAUAAAAGAGGAAGAACAGGAACAAGCUGUUGCUGUAGAAGAGAAACACACACUGGGCGACGUGACCUUUUCACCUGAUGGUGUUCAGAGUCCCUCGGCUGGUCCAGGGAGACCACGUCUCCUGCUGCCUUUUACGCCGACAAUUUUCCCACAAGCCAACAUUCCCGCUUCAGAGAAAAUAACCCAGCUUAGCGACUGUAGAAACAUGGAAGAUGGUCAGAUGCUACACCAGAAACAAACAUCACCUCAGCUGCUUUGCUUUCUCAAAGCUAAAGCUAAAGAUUUAGGCACAUUACCGGCAAGGGUGUGGUUCGAAGAACACGCCAACGUGUCUAGUCCACCCCAGCUGGUUUCCACCUCCGACGAAAUCCAGGCCCGCCAACCGAAACAUGUCUCAGAUGAUGCGAUUGACACAGAAGUGCCAAAGCAAGAUGUCGAGAACCAAACCCGGGUCUUUAAAGUCAAGCAUGAAGAAUCCAGCGGCUCUCUGACUUAUGCGUACGUAACGGCAACAACAACAGAAUUAUGGGAUUUGGGAGACAUCUUUACGGAAGCUUCGCAGGAGCUUUCAGACGUCAGACGCGUGGAAGAUGAAGCAUGUGGAAAUGUCGAGCAUGAGGAUAUGAGCUCCUGUGUGAAUCCAGCAGAGCCCGUGCGCGAGAGCGCUCGUGGUCCCCCAAUGCCCACAGUCAAUGGAAUCGCCAUCCCCGAGUUCCACAUCCACAGGUUCGGAGAAAGCGAAGUUGUUGUGUCUCACAUCAUUUCCCCAGGCAACUUCUUCAUCCAGCAGGCUGACUCCAUCACCAAGCUGCAGGCCCUGAUCACACACAGCUGGGCAGCACAUUAUUCAUAUGCUGAGCAGAGCAGAAUUCCAGACAUUGGAACCAAAGUCAUGGGUUGGUUUCCAAAGCAGCAGCAGUGGUCCAGGGCUCAAGUAAUGAAGAUCUGUGGAAUCACUGAAGAUACGGAUCCCAUGAAUCGUGGAAAGUCUAUCAAAGUGGAGGUGAAGCGGUUGGACCAUGGUGACGCCGCCUGUCUGUCUCUGCAGAACAUCACUGACAUGUCCCCAGAAAUGGCAGCCCUCCCACUGCAGGCUUUACAGGUCUCUUUGGCACACACAGGUUGGCUGUGUGCGAGCAGGCGGCUCCAUGGACCCCCAAAGACCUACGGGACAUCUUUUCAGGAGAUGCCUAAGCUGACGCGGUGAGUCUGUCGAGGUGGGGGGGGUGACUACCUUGCACUUGUGUGUUUUGCAUUGUUUUGGGAUGCUUGAGUCUGUCGGCAUUCCAUCGUUGUUCCGGUUGACUUAACGUGC
ensembl:lncRNA